rnacentral:rRNA from 1 species
ACGGAGGGUGCGAGCGUUAAUCGGAAUCACUGGGCGUAAAGCGCACGUAGGCGGUGUCGUAAGUCGGAUGUGAAAGCCCUCGGCUCAACCGGGGAACUGCAUUCGAUACUGCGAUGCUUGAGUGCCGGAGAGGGUGGCGGAAUUCCAGGUGUAGGGGUGAAAUGCGUAGAUAUCAGGAGGAACACCAGUGGCGAAGGCGACCUCCUGGACGGUAACUGACGCUGAGGUGCGAAAGCGUGGGUAGCAAACAG